AUUGAACGCUGGCGGCAGGCCUAACACAUGCAAGUCGAGCGGAUGAAGGGAGCUUGCUCCUGGAUUCAGCGGCGGACGGGUGAGUAAUGCCUAGGAAUCUGCCUGGUAGUGGGGGAUAACGUCCGGAAACGGGCGCUAAUACCACAUACGUCCUGAGGGAGAAAGUGGGGGAUCUUCGGACCUCACGCUAUCAGAUGAGCCUAGGUCGGAUUAGCUAGUUGGUGGGGUAAAGGCCUACCAAGGCGACGAUCCGUAACUGGUCUGAGAGGAUGAUCAGUCACACUGGAACUGAGACACGGUCCAGACUCCUACGGGAGGCAGCAGUGGGGAAUAUUGGACAAUGGGCGAAAGCCUGAUCCAGCCAUGCCGCGUGUGUGAAGAAGGUCUUCGGAUUGUAAAGCACUGUAAGUUGGGAGGAAGGGCAGUAAGUUAAUGCCUUGCUGUUUUGACGUUACCAACAGAAUAAGCACCGGCUAACUUCGUG
rnacentral:rRNA from 1 species